UGUUUCUUUUUGUUAUUUUGCUCGAUGAUAAUAUUUAAACUGUUAGCUUAUACUGCAGUAAACUAACGUGGAAGUGUGCAGCUAAUGAAGAAUUAGUCUUGAAACCAUUCUUUAGUCAACAGUCAACACCCGGCACUCCAUCCAUUGUGGCUAUUUGUUAAUAAAAACCAGCGAUCACUUUACUAAAAGCAACUACGGGACAACUUUAUCCCCUAUGAGAACAGUUCCUGGCGAAAUCGUCAUUAACUAGGUAAAUGGAAAACAUAAAUCUAUAUAUCGUGCCCUCACGAAACAAAGGUUCUCCGAAGCAGAUUCAUCCCCUGUUCAAGCUAAAAGAUGAUUCGUUCGUGCUAAGUAUCAAUGGACUAGCAGACUUAGAAUCCUAGAGGAAGGCAGCCUGGGGUCGCAAGAGUGUCACGACAAACUUUUGGAAGUGUUGACGUCGUGGUUGUUCGCGCCGCCUGGUUCCAGCUAGUUACUCAUUUAGGUACACGUGGACUGUCAAGAUAAUAAUUUUAUUUGUGGUGAUUUAAGAUAAAGUGAUAGUGCCUCUUUUGUUUGUGUUACCUCAAUUACAGGUUUGCUAUAUGUAAGACUAUCUAAAAUUAUUUUAAUUCAGAAAAUCCGUACACUGUCUUGUGAUGACCCAUUUAAAUAUAGGCACUUACCCAUCAGUUAGUAACAAACUAAAAACAAUGUUGCCUUGUAUGACACAAAAUUGCUUCUUUCCACUAUCUGAUUAGUUGUAGGUACAUACAUAAUAUUGUACACUAACUUGUCUGCUUAUGAGUUACAAAUUGUUUCAUAAUAACUCAAUACCCUUAUAGUAUAUACGAAAGUGAUCAAUAUAGUAAGUUAUAAUGUUUAAAUAUUAGGCAAAAUAAUAUUUUACUGAAUAAACUCCAAAUCAGAUGAGCGGCCCAAACGGGUCAAUAUUCUAAGUUAUAGAUAGACUAGCUAAAGAAUGGGUUUUCUCAUCUUUCUUCUAAUAAUGAUCUGUAGUACCAUUAACUUACUUUGGUGGGUCCUAGUGGGAAUGAUUAUUCUCAGUUGUUACCAGUAAAAUAUUUUAAUGUUCAAUAUUCACAAAAAUAUAUAACACAUAAAUAUACAGUGAGUUAUUUUUUCCUUUGAAAGCCGUUUCAGUAAACGGCUCCAGAACUGAAAAAACAUUUUAAAACAAAAAGGUAUGAAAUUAAUAGUUCUUCAAAAAACAUUCUAACAAUACAGCUACUUCAUAAUUAAGUUUCUAGUAUGUUAAUACUGAUAAUUAAACAUUUCAAAUUUGUUUCUGUAGUUACCUCCUUCUCCUACUCCUCUGGAGUUUCAGGCGUACAUAGGCUACGGAGACUGCUUAUCAUCAGGCGGGCCGUAUGCUUGUUUGCCACUGACUUAGUAUAAAAACCUGUAGUAAAAUAAGAACAAAUCAGCGGUGCCACUAUGGUUCUAUUUUUAUCACUUGUCACUAUGCCCAUCACUUUCGCACUUACAUACAUACUUGUUAGAAUGUGACAGGCGUGGUGACAAAUGAUAAAGAGUUGACCUUAGCCCUACAGAGAAAGUUAAACUACAAUCAUUAGUCUUAUCCAUUAAAUAAGUGCGAGAAAAUUUACUUAUCUUAGAUGAGUUUUCUGUUUAUUUUUUUUCUUUGAUGACUCAUUCUUUGAUAAUUUAUUUUGACAUUUAUUAGUGAUCUCAUGUGUAAUAUAAGAAUUGCUUCAUUGUUAAUAAUAAUAUAAUAUGUUAUGAGUUAUGAUUAUGAAUAAUAAGAUAUUAUAUGCUGUGCCCUUGCAGGGUCCAUGUGAGACAUUGUAUAUCAUGUAUAACAUCUAUACUGUACCAUGGUUGCAAUAAAGAAUGAUUAUGAUUA